ensembl:lncRNA
UUCAUUGUUGUAAAGUUAAUUACCAAGCUGUCUUAUAGGUGGUGUCUUUGGUGGACUUUUUACUGCAAACUCAGGAUCUAAAUCAUGAUGGCCUAUUCAGUCCAUCUGAGCUACUCUCACCUCCGUUAAUUCAAACACAGCAUAAAGAAGCUACACAAGACCAAAAAGACAGUGCUCAAAACAAAGUGGAGGUUAAGAUGGAAACACAGCCACAACAAAAACAGACCACGAAGGAGGACGGCGUUUUGUCAGCAGAUGAGCAGCACCCUCCCCAAGACGUCAGAACAGCAGAACAUACAGCAGAGCAGACAGCAGAGCAGACUGCACAGGAGACUGCAGAGCAGACAGCAGAGCAGACAGCAGAGCAGACAGCAGAGCAGACAGCAGAGCAGACUGAAACUGUGGCUGUCCCUGUGCACCAAGGACAACCAGAAAUAUAAAGACUUGGGAUUUACAUUUUAUGUGUAUUUAUUUGGAUUUAAUGCUUUGAAAUAGUAAUUACUUAUUAGUUAUAGGCCUACUUAUUUAUGGGAAGAGAUGCACUAUUUCAUAUUUAGACAAUUUCUCACUUUGGAAGAAUGUUUCAUGUUUGCACUUACUUUAAGCACUGGAAUGUUUGAAGGGUAUGGUGUUAUGG